rnacentral:rRNA from 1 species
GAUGAACGCUAGCGAUAGGCUUAACACAUGCAAGUCGAGGGGCAGCAUGGUCUUAGCUUGCUAAGACUGAUGGCGACCGGCGCACGGGUGCGUAACGCGUAUGCAACUUGCCUCACAGAGGGGGAUAACCCGUCGAAAGACGGACUAAUACCGCGUACACUCCAUCUUGGGCAUCCAAGGUAGAGGAAAUGAAAUUCGCUGUGAGAUAGGCAUGCGUCCCAUUAGCUAGUUGGUGAGGUAACGGCUCACCAAGGCGACGAUGGGUAGGGGAACUGAGAGGUUGAACCCCCACACUGGUACUGAGACACGGACCAGACUCCUACGGGAGGCAGCAGUGAGGAAUAUUGGUCAAUGGGCGAGAGCCUGAACCAGCCAAGUCGCGUGAAGGAUGACUGUCUUAUGGAUUGUAAACUUCUUUUAUACGGGAAUAACAAGAGUCACGUGUGGCUCCCUGCACGUACCGUAUGAAUAAGCAUCGGCUAACUCCGUG